rnacentral:rRNA from 1 species
GACAGAGGGUGCAAACGUUGUUCGGAAUUACUGGGCGUAAAGCGCAUGUAGGCUGCUUGGAAAGUCGGGUGUGAAAGCCCUGGGCUCAACCCAGGAAGUGCACUCGAAACUUCCAAGCUCGAGUCCUGGAGAGGGUGGCGGAAUUCUCGGUGUAGAGGUGAAAUUCGUAGAUAUCGAGAGGAACUCCGGUGGCGAAGGCGGCUACCUGGACAGUGACUGACGCUGAGAUGCGAAAGCGUGGGGAGCAAACAGG